rnacentral:rRNA from 1 species
AUACGGAGGAUGCAAGCGUUAUCCGGAUUUAUUGGGUUUAAAGGGUGCGUAGGCGGAUGAUUAAGCGUGAGGUGAAAUGCCACUGCUCAACAGUGGAACUGCCUCGCGAACUGGUUAUCUUGAAUGCUCCUGCCGUGGGAGGAAUGUGUGGUGUAGCGGUGAAAUGCAUAGAGAUCACACAGAACACCGAUUGCGAAGGCAUCUCACGAAGGGGUGAUUGACGCUGAGGCACGAAAGCGUGGGGAUCAAACAGGAUUAGAUACCCUGGUAGUCCACGCAGUAAACGAUGAUAACUAACCGCUGGGUCGUAGUGAUUCAGUGGCCAAGCGAAAGCGAUAAGUUAUCCACCUGGGGAGUACGACCGCAAGGUUGAAACUCAAAUGAAUUGACGG